UCUUCAUUUCGCACGCUAUCUCGCCUCUCUGACCGGUGAGAGAAUGUGAGAAAUGAAGAGA
rnacentral:pre_miRNA from 1 species